CGGGGUCAGCGGCGGACGGGUGAGUAACGCGUGGGUACGUGCCUUCCGGUUCGGAAUAACCCUGGGAAACUAGGGCUAAUACCGGAUACGCCCUUAUGGGGAAAGGUUUACUGCCGGAAGAUCGGCCCGCGUCUGAUUAGCUAGUUGGUGGGGUAACGGCCUACCAAGGCGACGAUCAGUAGCUGGUCUGAGAGGAUGAUCAGCCACACUGGGACUGAGACACGGCCCAGACUCCUACGGGAGGCAGCAGUGGGGAAUAUUGGACAAUGGGCGCAAGCCUGAUCCAGCCAUGCCGCGUGAGUGAUGAAGGCCUUAGGGUUGUAAAGCUCUUUUAUCCGGGACGAUAAUGACGGUACCGGAGGAAUAAGCCCCGGCUAACUUCGUGCCAGCAGCCGCGGUAAUACGAAGGGGGCUAGCGUUGCUCGGAAUCACUGGGCGUAAAGGGCGCGUAGGCGGCGUUUUAAGUCGGGGGUGAAAGCCUGUGGCUCAACCACAGAAUGGCCUUCGAUACUGGGACGCUUGAGUAUGGUAGAGGUUGGUGGAACUGCGAGUGUAGAGGUGAAAUUCGUAGAUAUUCGCAAGAACACCGGUGGCGAAGGCGGCCAACUGGACCAUUACUGACG
rnacentral:rRNA from 1 species